UCACCCCACUGCACUCCAGCCUGGGCGACAGAGCAAGACUGACUCAAUUUAAAAAAAAAAAGAUAAAAAUGGUGCAUCUCUAUAGGGCGUUUACCAUGCCUGGAGCUUGUGGGACUGGAAGUUGCUCUGGAAUCACUUCCUGGCUGGGAAUUGAACCCAGACUGCUGCAGUGAAAGAGCAUAAUGUUAGCUACUGGCCCACAGCAUGAGACUCCCGGUCCUGUUUGUUGCUCAUCCCCAGAUACGCAGCCUGGUCUACAGGAAGAAUUCUAUGUAUAUUUGCUGAAGAGACAAAGAAGGAUGUGGAUGAAUUGGAUGUGGAGAAUGAGAGGAAAGAAAAUGUCAAGGAUGGCUCUAAUUUCUGGCUUAUGCAACUGAGUGGUGCCAUUGAGAGAGACUCUCUCUCUUGCCUUCUUGGUUGGCACACUGGGGAGAAGCGAGCUGCAGCGUUGGAGAGGCCCAUGUGGCAAGGGACUGAGAGCAGCCUCUGGCCAACAGCCGGUAAGCAACCAGUGAGCAACCGAGGCCCUCAGUCCCACAGCAUGUGAGGAACUGAGUCCUGCCAAUGAUCAUGUGAUACUGAAGGAGGGUCUUUCUUUAGCUGAUCCUACAGAUGAGAAUCUAGCCCUUGUGCUGCCUCAUGAGAGACCCUGGAGCAGAGGCCCCAGCUGAGCUAUGCCUGGAUUCCUACCCACAGAAACUGGAAGACAAUAAAAGUGUCGUUUAUGUUUUUUUAUUCUGGUAAAAAUCAUAUAACAUGAAAUUUUUCCAUUCUAACCAUUAAAAACAUGUCUUUUUGUGUGUGUGAGACAGGGUUUCGUUCUGU
rnacentral:lncRNA from 1 species